UAGGGANUCUUCGGCAAUGGGGGCAACCCUGACCGAGCAACGCCGCGUGAGUGAAGAAGGUUUUCGGAUCGUAAAGCUCUGUUGUAAGUCAAGAACGAGUGUGAGAGUGGAAAGUUCACACUGUGACGGUAGCUUACCAGAAAGGGACGGCUAACUACGUGCCAGCAGCCGCGGUAAUACGUAGGUCCCGAGCGUUGUCCGGAUUUAUUGGGCGUAAAGCGAGCGCAGGCGGUUUGAUAAGUCUGAAGUUAAAGGCUGUGGCUCAACCAUAGUUCGCUUUGGAAACUGUCAAACUUGAGUGCAGAAGGGGAGAGUGGAAUUCCAUGUGUAGCGGUGAAAUGCGUAGAUAUAUGGAGGAACACCGGUGGCGAAAGCGGCUCUCUGGUCUGUAACUGACGCUGAGGCUCGAAAGCGUGGGGAGCGAACAGGAUUAGAUACCCUGGUAGUCCACGCCGUNNCGAUGAGUGCUAGGUGUUGGAUCCUUUCCGGGAUUCAGUGCCGCAGCUAANGCAUUAAGCACUCCGCCUGGGGAGUACGACCGCNAGGUUG
rnacentral:rRNA from 1 species